CCUACGGGAGGCAGCAGUGAGGAAUAUUGGUCAAUGGACGAGAGUCUGAACCAGCCAAGUAGCGUGAAGGAUGACUGCCCUAUGGGUUGUAAACUUCUUUUAUAUGGGAAUAAAAUGUUACACGUGUGGGAUUUUGUAUGUACCAUAUGAAUAAGGAUCGGCUAAAUCCGUGUCAGCAGCCGCGGUAAUACGGAGGAUCCGAGCGUUAUCCGGAUUUAUUGGGUUUAAAGGGGGCGUAGGUGGAUUGUUAAGUCAGUUGUGAAAGGUUGCGGCUCAACCGUAAAAUUGCAGUUGAAACUGGCAGUCGUGAGUACGGUAGAGGUGGGCGGAAUGCGUGGUGUAGCGGUGAAAUGCUUAGAUAUCGCGAAGAACUCCGAUUGCGAAGGCAGUUCACUGGACUGCAACUGACACUGAGGCUCGAAAGUGUGGGUAUCGAACAGGAUUAGAUACCCUGGUAGUC
rnacentral:rRNA from 1 species